rnacentral:rRNA from 1 species
CCUACGGGAGGCAGCAGUGGGGAAUUUUGGUACAAUGGGCGCAAGACCUGAUCCCAGCAAUGCCGCCGUGAGUGAAGAAGGCCUUCGGGUUGUAAAGCUCUUUUAGUCGGGGUAAGAAACGGUGGGGGCUAAUAUCCUCCACUAAUGACGGUACCUGAAGAAUAAGCACCGGCUAACUACGUGCCAGCAGCCGCGGUAAUACGUAGGGUGCAAGCGGUUAAUCGGAAUUACUGGGCGUAAAGCGUGCGCAGGCGGUUUUGUAAGUCUGUCGUGAAAGCCCCGGGUCUCAACCUGGGAAUUGCGAUGGAGACUGCAAGGCUUGAAUCUGGCAGAGGGGGGUAGAAUUCCGCGUGUAGCAGUGAAAUGCGUAGAGAUGUGGAGGAACACCGAUGGCGAAGGCAGCCCCCUGGGUCAAGAUUGACGCUCAUGCACGAAAGCGUGGGGAGCAAACAGGAUUAGAUACCCUGGUAGUCCACGACCUAACGACUAGUCUACUAGUUAGUUCGGUUUAACGUUUAACGUUACGGUUAACGUACAGACUACGACGUGAGUAGACCGCCGUCGGGAGGUACGGUACGACGAAGAAGUUAAAACGUUAAAACGUAAAGUUAGUACGGACGUGAGACGUAGCCGAACGGACGACGACGAGGGAGGUAGG